rnacentral:lncRNA from 1 species
UAGUCUAUAACGCAAUGCUUGAUUUUUCCCAGUAGAUUGCAAUAAAUCAACAUGAACGAUCAGACGCAUGAUGCAUUCAUAAUAUUAAACAAUUACGCAGAGUAAUAAAUGAAUCACACGAAGUAAUAAUUCAAAGGCGUACCAAAACAUAUAUAUUUGGGGUAUAAUAUGUAUAUAUAGUAAACUUUUCUUUUUUGUUGUACCUAUAGAUCGGUUCCUUCAGAAAAGAUUUUUAGAUUAAUUAUUAACAAUAUGUAUUAAAAUUUAACUUAAAGUGGGAAUGUUCGAGGGGAUGGCUGUAUUGUAUACCAUAGUAGUUAAAAAAACUUUACAAUGAAAUACAAACUUCUAGUGUAAUUGGUGUAUGUGUAAUGAAACAUUAAAUUAGCAAUCGAAAUGGAUUAUAAUUGUUUAAAUGGUUCAAAACGAACGUUUUCUGUCUUAUCAGUGAACUUUAAUGUACUUCCUAAAUAACCUCAUUGCCAAGCAGUGUUUAAGUGUCUCUACCGAAAGCAUUUCUGAACAAGCAGAACAUUGUAUACCAUUUGGCUUUUUAAAAUAUUGUAAUACAAAAUUGUUUGCUUCAUUUUAACGGGUCUUCUUAACCUUAACUUUUUAACUUAUUUCUUCUCUAGUUAUUUGCCUUUUCCUUUUUAUGUAUGUAGUUCCUCUUUUGAUAUAUCAUUUGUGUAAAUUCUGUUUUCUUUUAUAUACUUCCUUUUGCGUUUAUUCCGCAUGGCCAUUUCUUUUUUUCCUCGUUUAACCAAGCAGGGUUUGUUAACUAGUUUUAUGCCUCUUCUAUCUUUAACUCAAUAUCCAUCUCUUAUUUCAUUCAAUUUUUAUGACUUUGUCGAUUGACAUUCAUUGAAUUAUAACAUUUUCCUCCUUUCUCUCUCUUUCCAAUCUCUCCAAUCUAAAUUUCAAAACAGUUUUUCUUAUUUGUUGCAUUUUGGGCUUAGGCUACUUUGCAUCUCAUAGUGUCAUGUUAUUAUGUAUAUACUAUUUCAGUUUAAAAUACGUUUAUUUUGACGUUUCGAUUUCCACUUCAAAUUAAACAAAUUAUUAUGUUUUGUUUUAUCUGCCUCAUUGAUAUUAUUAUAUUGACAACUCAGACGUAAAUAUUAUUACACAAUGUAAAGUAUGUAGAUGAUUUUAAAUGAUAUUAUUAAAUGAUAUUAAGAAAGAUAGUGAGUGCACUUGAUUAUAUGAAAUAAAUUAACUUGAGGGUCUCCAUUAGAAAAAUCAUAGCAUGUGAUUUGUCUUUAAAAGGCAACCUCAUGCAAUAAUUACAGUUAAGUUCUCUUAUUAGCAAUAAUUGAAUUAUAAAUCAUGAGGAAAAACCAGAAAAAAAAACUUGACGUUAUCCCGAUAUAAAUUAUGUGUAGUCUCUUAACUUAUUAAUAGCAUAAUUUACUUUUUAUUGAUUUCUUCUUUUAAUAUUGGUAACCAGAUCCUACUGAAUUUUGCCGAGGAAUUUUUGACUUUUGAGAAUAAUAUCAACGUUUCUCCCUUCCGGAGCAUCAAGCCUUCAUCACCGGUGAUGCCACUACAAGGUCGAUAAUAUGACAAGAUGCAUCUCUACUAGACUGCAGCGACCAACACCACCAAGAGUGUAGCUGCAGAAAUCUGAGGCCAAACAUCUGCCCAGGUUUACAACAAGUCGUCAGCUGUACCAUUCGACAUCAAGGAGUUACCAUCGCACCAA